GGCAGUUUAGUUUAAUGAUAAAACACUUGACACGUAAUCACAGAGAUGUGAGUUCGAGUCUCAUGGCUGGCCA
rfam:Octopus bimaculoides Scaffold25624_contig_79, whole genome shotgun sequence.